rnacentral:rRNA from 1 species
GAGUUUGAUCGUGGCUCAGGAUGAACGCUGGCGGCGUGCCUAAUACAUGCAAGUCGAGCGAACGGACGAGAAGCUUGCUUCUCUGAUGUUAGCGGCGGACGGGUGAGUAACACGUGGAUAACCUACUUAUAAGACUGGGAUAACUUCGGGAAACCGGAGCUAAUACCGGAUAAUAUUUUGAACCGCAUGGUUCAAAAGUGAAAGACGGUCUUGCUGUCACUUAUAGAUGGAUCCGCGCUGCAUUAGCUAGUUGGUAAGGUAACGGCUUACCAAGGCAACGAUGCAUAGCCGACCUGAGAGGGUGAUCGGCCACACUGGAACUGAGACACGGUCCAGACUCCUACGGGAGGCAGCAGUAGGGAAUCUUCCGCAAUGGGCGAAAGCCUGACGGAGCAACGCCGCGUGAGUGAUGAAGGUCUUCGGAUCGUAAAACUCUGUUAUUAGAGAAGAACAUAUGUGUAAGUAACUGUGCACAUCUUGACGGUACCUAAUCAGAAGGCCACGGCUAACUACG